rnacentral:rRNA from 1 species
AUGGCGGAUAGGGCGAAGGUCGUGGCCGUCGUGGUCGCCGCGGGCGUGGGCGCGGCGGUGCUCGCGGCGGCGUGCGUGUUCCUCGCCAUAUGGAUGUACCGGCGGCGGGCCAGCGUGGUGGCGCGGACGCGGACGCGGUCGCUCGAGUCCUCCACGGCCACGCUGCGGGCCAACGGCUCCACCGCCAGCCUCGACUCCAGCGUCUCCGUCUCCGUCGUCUCCGAGAGCGUCGCCGACUGGGGCCACAACCCGCUGCCGCCGGGGAAGCGCGUCGCCUUCUGGGGCUGGCGGGGCGCCAACAACGGCAGGGACCAGCCCCUCUCCAUCUCCGGGAUCCCCAAGUACCACUACAAGGAUCUGCAGAAGGCUACCAACAACUUCACCACGAUUCUGGGGCAAGGAUCGUUUGGUCCUGUGUACAAGGCUGUAAUGGCUACCGGUGAAGUCGUGGCUGUAAAGGUUCUCGCGAGCGAUUCUACGCAAGGGGAAAGAGAGUUCCAGACAGAGGUAAUCUUGCUUAGUCGGCUGCAUCAUAGAAAUCUUGUUAAUUUGGUUGGAUAUUGCGUGGAAAAAGGCCAACACAUUCUGAUGUAUGAGUACAUGAGCAACGGGAAUUUGGCAACUCUUCUGUAUGGCGAUAAUAAACGGAGUUUGAGCUGGCAAGAGAGGCUACAAAUAGCUCACGACGUCUCUCAUGGGAUUGAGUACCUGCAUGAAGGGGCUGUCCCGCCUGUUAUUCACCGAGACCUAAAGUCUGCUAAUAUACUCUUGGACGAAUCAAUGAGGGCCAAGGUUGCAGACUUUGGUCUAUCAAAGGAGGAAGUAUUUGAUGGAAGUAAGUCAGGUCUCAAGGGCACCUAUGGAUAUAUGGACCCUGAUUACAUGUCCACCAACAAAUUCACAAAGAAGAGUGAUGUUUACAGUUUCGGCAUAAUACUUUUUGAACUCAUAACAGCCAUAAAUCCACAACAAGGCUUAAUGGAGUACAUUGACCUAGCAGCCAUUGGAGGGGAAGGAAAGGUGGAUUGGGAUGAGAUACUUGACAAGAACCUCCUUGGCGGGAGCAUUCCAGAAGAGGCAAGGGUCCUUGCCGAUGUUGCCUACCGGUGCAUCAACAGGAGCCCAAGGAAGCGGCCAUGGAUAUCAGAGGUCACCCAGGCCAUUUCAAGGCUAAGGCAGCGGCAGAUGACUUUGCCGAGGAGCGAGACCAGGACCGUGCUAAGGAGGAUAGAGUACCAGCACGUGGAGCUCAGCGAUCUCGCCGGCAUGAAAGAACUCACGCCGGUAGGAGCCUGA